CCGGCGUGCCUCGAGUUGAGGUAGUAGGUUGUAUGGUUUAGAAUAACACCAUCAGGAGAUAACUGUACAGCCUCCUAGCUUUCCCCGGGGCAACGCCAC
ensembl:miRNA aca-let-7c-2 aca-let-7c-2